GAUUUGCUUAAUUGCACCACAUGUGUUUUUUAUUGACAAUUUCUUUGGUGGCGGGAGCAAUCCUACCGCCAGAGGUUAUAACUAAACCAAACUUUUUAUUUACAGUCAAACUUGAUUUAUUAUUACAAUAGUCAAAACUUUCAACAACGGAUCUCUUGGUUCUCGCAUCGAUGAAGAACGCAGCGAAAUGCGAUACGUAAUAUGAAUUGCAGAUAUUCGUGAAUCAUCGAAUCUUUGAACGCACAUUGCGCCCUUUGGUAUUCCAAAGGGCAUGCCUGUUUGAGCGUCAUUUCUCCCUCAAACCCCCGGGUUUGGUGUUGAGCAAUACGCUAGGUUUGUUUGAAAGAAUUUACCGGGAAAACUAAUUUUAAGCAACUUAGGUUAUCCAAAACCUUAAUUUGGCUAUGGGCCCCCAAUUUUAUUUCAAACUUUAACCUCAAAUCAGGUAGA
rnacentral:rRNA from 1 species